rnacentral:rRNA from 1 species
AUUGAACGCUGGCGGCAGGCUUAACACAUGCAAGUCGAGCGGAGAUGAGGUGCUUGCACCUUAUCUUAGCGGCGGACGGGUGAGUAAUGCUUAGGAAUCUGCCUAUUAGUGGGGGACAACAUUCCGAAAGGAAUGCUAAUACCGCAUACGUCCUACGGGAGAAAGCAGGGGAUCUUCGGACCUUGCGCUAAUAGAUGAGCCUAAGUCGGAUUAGCUAGUUGGUGGGGUAAAGGCCUACCAAGGCGACGAUCUGUAGCGGGUCUGAGAGGAUGAGCCGCCACACUGGGACUGAGACACGGCCCAGACUCCUACGGGAGGCAGCGGUGGGGAAUAUUGGACAAUGGGGGGAACCCUGAUCUAGCCAUGCCGCGUGUGUGAAGAAGGCCUUAUGGUUGUAAAGCACUUUAAGCGAGGAGGAGGCUACUGAGACUAAUACUCUUGGAUAGUGGACGUUACUCGCAGAAUAAGCACCGGCUAACUCUGUGCCAGCCGCCGCCGUAAUAC